rnacentral:rRNA from 1 species
UACGGAGGGAGCUAGCGUUGUUCGGAAUUACUGGGCGUAAAGCGCACGUAGGCGGCUUUGUAAGUUAGAGGUGAAAGCCCGGGGCUCAACCCCGGAAUUGCCUUUAAGACUGCAUCGCUUGAAUCCGGGAGAGGUGAGUGGAAUUCCGAGUGUAGAGGUGAAAUUCGUAGAUAUUCGGAAGAACACCAGUGGCGAAGGCGGCUCACUGGACUGGUAUUGACGCUGAGGUGACGAAAGCGUGGGGAGCAAACAGG